rnacentral:rRNA from 1 species
GCACGCUGCGUUCCUCAGUCCCCCAGGGCGAAUCCAAUAAAGAGCUAUAACACAGCCGAAACUGCUACCUUCUCUCUAUGCUUUUCCGCCCCGAAAAACUGAUGCGGGCCUGCCAAUCGAGUUGCCCCGAAUAGCAAGUAUCACUGCAUGUGUUUCCCUUCCAACAAUUUCACGUACUGUUAACUCUCUUUCCAAAGUGCUUUUCAUCUUUCCCUCACGGUACUUGUUCGCUAUCGGUCUCUCGCCAAUAUUUAGCUUUAGAUGGAAUUUACCACCCAAUUUGAGCUGCAUUCCCAAACAACUCGACUCUUCGAAAGUGUAUCACAAAGUAAUAGGCAUCCGCAUCGUGUACUGGGUUCUCACCACUAUGACGCUCUGUUCCAAGAGACUUGUAUGCGGUCUAUCACGGAAAACACUUCUCGAGAUUACAACUCGGACGUCGAAGACGCCAGAUUACAAAUUUGAGCUUUUCCCGCUUCGCUCGCCGCUACUAGGGGA